rnacentral:rRNA from 1 species
UACGUAGGGUGCAAGCGUUAAUCGGAAUUACUGGGCGUAAAGCGUGCGCAGGCGGUCGUGCAAGUCAGAUGUGAAAUCCCCGGGCUCAACCUGGGAACUGCAUUUGUGACUGCACGGCUGGAGUGCGGCAGAGGGGGAUGGAAUUCCGCGUGUAGCAGUGAAAUGCGUAGAUAUGCGGAGGAACACCGAUGGCGAAGGCAAUCCCCUGGGCCUGCACUGACGCUCAUGCACGAAAGCGUGGGGAGCAAACAGG